rnacentral:rRNA from 1 species
UACGUAGGGGGCUAGCGUUGUCCGGAAUCAUGGGGCGUAAAGAGCGUGUAGGCGGCCCGGUAAGUCCGCUGUAAAAGUCAAAGGCUCAACCUUUGAAUGUCAGUGGAUACUGCCGGGCUAGAGUCCGGAAGAGGCGAGUGGAACUCCUGGUGUAGCGGUGGAAUGCGCAGAUAUCAGGAAGAACACCAACGGCGAAGGCAGCUCGCUAGGACGGUACUGACGCUGAGACGCGAAAGCGUGGGGAGCGAACAGG